rnacentral:rRNA from 1 species
AACGAACGCUGGCGGCAUGCCUAACACAUGCAAGUCGAACGAGACCUUCGGGUCUAGUGGCGCACGGGUGCGUAACGCGUGGGAACCUGCCCUUAGGUUCGGAAUAACUCACCGAAAGGGGUGCUAAUACCGGAUAAUGUCUUCGGACCAAAGAUUUAUCGCCUUUGGGUGGGCCCGCGUUGGAUUAGCCAGUUGGUAGGGUAAAAGCCUACCAGGGCGACGAUCCAUAGCUGGUCUGAGAGGAUGAUCAGCCACACUGGGACUGAGACACGGCCCAGACUCCUACGGGAGGCAGCAGUGGGGAAUAUUGGACAAUGGGCGAAAGCCUGAUCCAGCAAUGCCGCGUGAGUGAUGAAGGCCUUAGGGUUGUAAAGCUCUUUUACCCGGGAUGAUAAUGACAGUACCGGGAGAAUAAGCUCCGGCUAACUCCGUG